GGAUCACCUGAUUUGAAAGUGGGAUAGCUUCUUCAUCCUAACUCCUAUGAGAUUUAUUCAACUUCCUAGUGAUUCUCCAUUACUUUAUGUAUCAAAAUCAAGCUUCUUACAUCGCGAUUCAUCCUGGUUCGAUUAGAAUGACAAGGAAGCUGUUAUAUUCCCAAACAGGAAAACUGGGAUCACAUGAUUUGAAAGUGGGAUAGCUUCUUCAUCCUAACUCCUAUGAGAUUUAUUCAACUUCCUAGUGAUUCUCCAUUACUUUAUGUAUCAAAAUCAAGCUUCUUACAUCACGAUUCAUCCUGGUUUGAUUUGAAUAACAAGGAAGCUGUCAUAUUCCCAAACAGGAAAACUGGGAUCACCUGAUUUGAAAGUGGGAUAGCUUCUUCAUCCUAACUCCUAUGAGAUUUAUUCAACUUCCUAAUGGUUCUCCACUACUUUAUGUAUCCAUUUAAAGCUUCUUACAUCACGAUUCAUCCUGGUUUGAUUAGAAUGACAAAGAAGCUGUCAUAUUCCCAAACAGAAAAACUGGGAUCACCUGAUUUGAAAGUGGGAUAGCUUCUUCAUCCUAACUCCUAUGAGAUUUAUUCAACUUCCUAAUGGUUCUCCACUACUUUAUGUAUCAAAAUCAAGCUUCUUACAUCAAGAUUCAUCCUUGUUUGAUUAGAAUGACAAAGAAGCUAUCAUAUUCCCAAACAGGAAAACUGGGAUCACCUGAUUUGAAAGUGGGAUUGCUUCUUCAUCCUAACUCCUAUGAGAUUUAUUCAACUUCCUAGUGAUUCUCGAUUACUUUAUAUAUCAAAAUCUAGCUUCUUACAUCGCGAUUCAUCCUGGUUUGAUUAGAAUGACAAAGAAGAUGUUAUAUUCCCAAACAGGAAAAACUGGGAUCACCUGAUUUGAAAGUGGGAUAGCUUCUUCAUCAUAACUCCUAUGAGAUUUAUUCAACUUCCUAGUGAUUCUCCAUUACUUUAUAUAUCAAAAUCAAGCUUCUUAGAUCGCGGUUCAUCCUGGUUUGAUUAGAAUGACAAAGAAGCUGUCAUAUUCCCAAACAGGAAAAACUGGCAUCACUUGAUUUGAAAGUGGGACAGCUUCUUCAUCAUAACUCCUAUGCGAUUUAUUCAACUUCCUAGUUAUUCUCUAUUACUUUAUGUAUCAAAAUCAAGCUUCUUAGAUCGCGAUUCAUCCUGGUUUGAUUAGAAUGAAAAGGAGCUGUCAUAUUCCCAAACAGGAAAACUAGCAUCACUUGAUUUGAAAGUGGGAUAGCUUUUUCAUCCUAACUCCUAUGAGAUUUAUUCAACUUCCUAGUGAAUCUCCAUUACUUUAUGUAUCAAAAUCAAGCUUCUUACAUCGCGAUUCAUCCUCGUUUGAUUAGAAUAACAAGGAAGCUGUCAUAUUCCCAAACAGGAAAACCGGGAUCACCUGAUUUGAAAGUGGGAUAGCUUCUUCAUCGUAACUUUUAUGUGAUUUAUUCAACUUCCUAGUGAUUCUCCAUUACUUUAUGUACAAAAUCAAGCUUCUUACGUCACGAUUCAUCCUGGUCUGAUUAGAAUGACAAAGAAGCUGUCAUAUUCCCAAACAGGAAAAUUGGGAUCACCUGAUCUGAAAGUGGGACAGCUUCUUCAUCCUAACUCCUAUGAGAUUUAUUCAACUUCAUAGUGAUUCUCCAUUACUUUAUGUAUCAAAAUCAAGAUUCUUACAUCGCGAUUCAUCCUGGUUCUAUUAGAAUGACACAGGAAGUUGUUAUAUUCCCAAACAGGAAAACUGGGAUCACCUGAUUUGAAAGUGGGAUAGCUUCUUCAUCCUAAUUCCUAUGAGAUUUAUUCAACUUCCAAGUGAUUCUCCAUUACUUUAUGUAUCAAAAUCAAGCUUCUUACAUCGCGAUUCAUCCUGGUUUGAUUAGAAUGACAAAGAAGCUGUCAUAUUCCCAAACAGGAAAACUGGGAUCACCUGAUUUGAAAGUGGGAUAGCUUCUUCAUCCUAACUCCUAUGAGAUUUAUUGAACUUCCUAGUGAUUCUCCAUUACUUUAUAUAUCAAAAUCAAGCUUCUUACAUCGCGAUUCAUCCUGGUUCUAUUAGAAUGACAAGGAAACUGUUAUAUUCCGAAACAGGAAAACUGGGAUCACCUGAUUUGAAAGUGGGAUAGCUUCUUCAUCCUAACUCCUAUGAGAUUUAUUCAACUUCCUAAUGGUUCUCCACUACUUUAUAUAUCAAAAUCAAGCUUCUUACAUCGCAAUUCAUCCUGGUUCUAUUAGAAUGACAAAGAAGCUGUCAUAUUCCCAAACAGGAAAAGUGGGAUCACCUGAUUUGAAAAUUGGAUAGCUUCUUCAUCCUAACUCCUAUGAGAUUUAUUCAACUUCCUAGUGAUUCUCCAUUACUUUAUGUAUCAAAAUCAAGAUUCUUACAUCGCGAUUCAUCCUGGUUCUAUUAGAAUGAAAGAUUCUUACAUCUCGAUUCAUUCUGGUUUGAUUAGAAUGACAAAGAAGCUGUCAUAUUCCCAAACAAAAAAUUUGGGAUCACCUGAUUUGAAAGUGGGACAGCUUCUUCAUCCUAACUCCUAUGAGAUUUAUUCAACUUCCUAGUGAUUCUCCAUUACUUUAUGUAUCAAAAUCAAGAUUCUUACAUCGCGAUCCAUUCUGGUUCUAUUAGAAUUACAAGGAAGCUGUUAUAUUCCCAAACAGGAAAACUGAGAUCACCUGAUUUGAAAGUGGGAUAGCUUCUUCAUCCUAACUAUUAUGAGAUUUAUUCAACUUCCUAGUCAUUCUCCAUUACUUUAUGUAUCAAAAUCAAGCUUCUUACAUCGCGAUUCAUCCUGGUUCUAUUAGAAUGACAAGGAAGCUGUUAUAUUCCCAAAUAGGAAAACUGAGAUCACCUGAUUUGAAAGUGGGAUAGCUUCUUCAUCCUAACUCCUAUGAGAUUUAUUCAACUUCCUAGUGAUUCACCAUUACUUUAUGUACCAAAAUUAAGCUUCUUACAUUGCGAUUCAUCCUGGUUUGAUUAGAAUGACAAAGAAGCUGUCAUAUUCCCAAACAGGAAAAUUGGGAUCACCUGAUUUGAAAGUGGGACAGCUUCUUCAUCCUAACUCCUUUUAGAUUUAUUCAACUUCCCAGUGAUCCUCCAUUACUUUAUGUAUAAAAAUCAAGCUUCUUACAUCGCGAUUCAUCCUGGUUCUAUUAGAAUGACAAGGAAGCUGUUAUAUUCCCAAACAGGAAAACUGGGAUCACCUGAUUUGAAAGUGGGAUAACUUCUUCAUCCUAACUCCUAUGAGAUUUAUUCAACUUCCUAGUAAUUCCCCAUUACUUUAUAAAUCAAAAUCAAGCUUCUUACAUCGCGAUUCAUCCUGGUUUGAUUAGAAUGACAAAGAAGCUGUCAUAUUCCCAAACAGGAAAACUGGGAUCACCUGAUUUGAAAGUGGGAUAGCUUCUUCAUCCUAACUCCUAUGAGAUUUAUUCAGCUUCCUGAUGAUUCUCCACUACUUUAUGUAUCAAAAUCAAGCUUCUUACAUCGCGAUUCAUCCUGGUUCUAUUAGAAUGACAAGGAAACUGUUAUAUUCCCAAACAGGAAAACUGGGAUCACCUGAUUUGAAAGUGGGAUAGCUUCUAUAUCCUAACUCCUAUGAAAUUUAUUGAACUUCCUAGUGAUUCUCCAUUACUUUAUAUAUCAAAAUCAAGCUUCUUACAUCGCGAUUCAUCCUGGUUUGAUUAGAAUGACAAAGAAGCUGUCAUAUUCCCAAACAGGAAAAUUGGGAUCACCUGAUUUGAAAGUGGGACAGCUUCUUCAUCCUAACUCCUAUGAGAUUUAUUCAACUUCCUAGUGACUCUCCAUUACUUUAUGUAUCCAAAUCAAGCUUCUUACAUCGCGAUUCAUCCUGGUUUGAUUAGAAUGACAAAGAAGCUGUCAUAUUCCUAAACAGGAAAACUGGGAUCACCUGAUUUGAAAGUGGGAUAGCUUCUUCAUCCUAACUCCUAUGAGAUUUAUUCAACUUCCUAGUGAUUCUCCAUUACAUUAUGUAUCCAAAUCAAACUUCUUACAUCGCGAUUCAUCCUGGUUUGAUUAGAAUGACAAAGAAGCUGUCAUAUUCCCAAACAGAAAAACUGGGAUCACUUGAUUUGAAAGAGGGAUUGCUUCUUCAUCCUAACUCCUAUGAGAUUUAUUCAACUUCCUAGUGAUUCUUCAUUACUUUAUAUAUCAAAAUCAAGCUUCUUACAUCGCGAUUCAUCCUGGUUUGAUUAGAAUGACAAAGAAGAUGUCAUAUUCGCAAACAGGAAAACUGGGAUCACCUGAUUUGAAAGUGGGAUAGCUUCUUCAUCAUAACUCCUAUGAGAUUUAUUCAACUUCCUAGUGAUUCUCCAUUACUUUAUAUAUCAAAAUCAAGCUUAUUACAUCGCGAUUCAUCCCGGUUUGAUUAAAAUGACAAAGAAGCUGUCAUAUUCCCAAACAGGAAAAUUGGGAUCACCUGAUUUGAAAGUGGGACAGCUUCUUCAUCCUAACUCCUAUGCGAUUUAUUCAACUUCCUAGUUAUUCUCCAUUACUUUAUGUAUCAAAAUCAAGCUUCUUAGAUCUGGAUUCAUCCUGGUUUGAUUAGAAUGACAAGGAAGCUGUCAUAUUCCCAAACAGGAAAACUGGCAUCACCUGAUUUGAAAGUGGGAUAGCUUUUUCAUCCUAACUCCUAUGAGAGUUAUUCAACUUCCUAGUGAUUCUCCAUUACUUUAUGUAUCCAAAUCAAACUUCUUACAUCGCGAUUCAUUCUGGUUCGAUUAGAAUGACAAAGAAGCUGUCAUAUUCCUAAACAGAAAAACUGGGAUCACUUGAUUUGAAAGUGGGAUAGCUUCUUCAUCCUAACUCCUAUGAGAUUUAUUUAACUUCCUAGUGAUUCUCCAUUACUUUAUGUGUCAAAAUCAAGCUUCUUACAUCUCGAUUCAUCUUGGUUUGAUUAGAAUGACAAGGAAGCUGUCAUAUUCCCAAACAGGAAAACUGGGAUCACCUGAUU
rnacentral:lncRNA from 1 species